rnacentral:piRNA from 1 species
UUCUGUCACAGAUUUCUUCCUCAAAACCUGG